UGGAGGACCUAACAGUGCCUUCUGCCCCUGGCACAUUCGCCACAGAAGAAGACUGCUCUGGGACUCACCAGUAUGGGAUGGUGCUGUGGCAGCAGUCUCCUUGGAGCUCACUGGAUCCUUAGAAUUAUUUUGUGAUGCUUGUUCUGCAUCUUGAAAUGACGACCUGUGCCUCUGGGACUCAGCUGCAAGGAAGACAAGUGGAAGGCAAGUGGACAUGUUUUUCUGUGUAUCCCAAAACAGGUAGCAGUGUCUUUGCAGUGCACUGGAUGGAUGGAUGAAGGCACUCUCCCAGGCUUCCAACUCUCGAAGGUGAUUUUCUGCAAAUAUGGAAAUGAACUGGAGGUGGGCAAAGGUAAUAACAGGGAGGCCCUUCAGAGGGUAUUGCAGCCAAAGUGAGAGAUGGUGGCCAGAAUUGGAAUGGUGGAGAAAGAAGGAGCAACACUCCUCACCAUCAGAACCUUCAUAUGAUGCAACAAGAACAUACUUCUCUGCUUAGUCUUCAGUGCGGGGCAGCCUGACACAGGCUAUUCUUCUGGCCACCUACGCUAUCACUGCCCCUUUGGGGGACGUGAGCAUCAUGUCCCCCAAAUACUUCCUUUUUCUCCCUCUUCCCAAACCAUGACAGGCCUUUCCCAGAGCCCUUCUACCUAGAGUGUUCUUCUUUCUUUAUGGCAAAGCCUGGUUUUUCUUGCUAUCUAAAUUGUCUAAUAAAAUACCAACUCUCUGAAGGCUUUCCCUGACUCCCUGGUGUAGUGGCAACAAAGUGCACCUCUGUGCUCCCAUGGUGCUUUGUUCAUGUCUAGAGUUUUGCACCUGCUCACACCAUGUUGUACACUCUGCUUGAGUGUCUAUCUCCUAACCAGAUCCCUAGCCCCUGGUUACAAACUCAUUGCCAAAUCUCAGCCUUUUCUUUAAAGAGGAGUCAAGAUGA